rnacentral:lncRNA from 1 species
ACUUUUAAAUUAGAAUACUGUUUAAUUAGAUAUUGAGCAACCAUGCCGCAGUGGUUAGAGUUUUUGCUUAGAACCAAGAGGUAAGAGAUACGUCAUUAGGCGUUUAACUAGGAAAGGGGCAUGAACUUCCUAAUUAAAUAUUCUUCUGUGUUACUCUGUGAUAAAACCGUAAGGACUUCUGGAAGCACGUUAAUGGCAGCAACCACAACAACAACAAAAUAUUAUCAAAAUGUUAUAGACAUUUACUAUUUUCUAAUUCAUAAAAUUAUAUAAAAAAGUAUCAAGCCAAGAGAAUAAGAAUUUGAUGUCAUGUUAAUUAAAGUCAAGACUUAAAAGUUUAAAUGAUUCCCUGCAAACUGCUUGUCAACACUUAUCGUUGCAGUUGCUGAUAGCAACUGAAAAAGUUGAAACAGGAUUAUAAAUUAUGUCUUGUUCAGUUCUCCAGCAUUUAUUUUUCUGAGUAUGUUUUUUUUUUUUUUUUUUUUUUUUUUUAACAAAUAUAAUAAAUUGUUUGUUUAUAAGAUUUAAUAGUAUUAGUAUUUUUUUUUAAAGUUGCUUUGAGUUGAUUAUUAUGUAACAAUAAACGUUGAGUUGAUUAAUGUUUAAUAACAAAUGUGUAACAAUAUAGUAAUCCUUUCCUAUACUUAUAUUUUACUUCGGCUAUGGUUAUCUUACUUGUUUACGAUUUACAUACUGUAUUGAGUCAGCUUGUGUUAAUUACACGUGUUUCAAGUUGUUUUAUGGUUUUUAGUUAUGUGCAACAUAUUGCAUGUUAGAGUAAAAAUGGAUUAAAACACAGAGUUAAAUCAGAAUUUCAUCAUGCGAUCAUGGUGGCGUAAUUAGAGAAGUACUGAGGCAGAAUACAACUAUUUUAAAACAGUCUUGAAUCAAAUCAUUGUAUAACAAUGUUUAUCGUUGUAUAAAAAUAUUAUGAAAUU